GCGGGCAUAGCUCAGUUGGGAGAGCGUCAGACUGAAGAUCUGAAGGUCAUGUGUUCGAUCCACAUUGACCGCA
rnacentral:tRNA from 1 species